rnacentral:rRNA from 1 species
GACGAACGCUGGCGGCGUGCUUAACACAUGCAAGUCGAACGGAAAGGCCCUGCUUUUGUGGGGUGCUCGAGUGGCGAACGGGUGAGUAACACGUGAGUAACCUGCCCUUGACUUUGGGAUAACUUCAGGAAACUGGGGCUAAUACCGGAUAGGAGCUCCUGCUGCAUGGUGGGGGUUGGAAAGUUUCGGCGGUUGGGGAUGGACUCGGGGCUUAUCAGCUUGUUGGUGGGGUAGUGGCUUACCAAGGCUUUGACGGGUAGCCGGCCUGAGAGGGUGACCGGCCACAUUGGGGCUGAGAUACGGCCCAGACUCCUACGGGAGGCAGCAGUAGGGAAUUUUGCACAAUGGGCGGAAGCCUGAUGCAGCAACGCCGCGUGCGGGAUGACGGCCUUCGGGUUGUAAACCGCUUUCGCCUGUGACGAAGCGUGAGUGACGGUAAUGGGUAAAGAAGCACCGGCUAACUACGUG